rnacentral:rRNA from 1 species
UGAGUUUGAUCAUGGCUCAGGACGAACGCUGGCGGCGUGCUUAACACAUGCAAGUCGAACGGAAAGGCCCUGCUUUUGUGGGGUGCUCGAGUGGCGAACGGGUGAGUAACACGUGAGUAACCUGCCCUUGACUUUGGGAUAACUUCAGGAAACUGGGGCUAAUACCGGAUAGGAGCUCCUGCUGCAUGGUGGGGGUUGGAAAGUUUCGGCGGUUGGGGAUGGACUCGCGGCUUAUCAGCUUGUUGGUGGGGUAGUGGCUUACCAAGGCUUUGACGGGUAGCCGGCCUGAGAGGGUGACCGGCCACAUUGGGACUGAGAUACGGCCCAGACUCCUACGGGAGGCAGCAGUGGGGAAUAUUGCACAAUGGGCGGAAGCCUGAUGCAGCAACGCCGCGUGCGGGAUGACGGCCUUCGGGUUGUAAACCGCUUUCGCCUGUGACGAAGCGUGAGUGACGGUAACGGGUAAAGAAGCACCGGCUAACUACGUGCCAGCAGCCGCGGUGAUACGUAGGGUGCGAGCGUUGUCCGGAUUUAUUGGGCGUAAAGGGCUCGUAGGUGGUUGAUCGCGUCGGAAGUGUAAUCUUGGGGCUUAACCCUGAGCGUGCUUUCGAUACGGGUUGACUUGAGGAAGGUAGGGGAGAAUGGAAUUCCUGGUGGAGCGGUGGAAUGCGCAGAUAUCAGGAGGAACACCAGUGGCGAAGGCGGUUCUCUGGGCCUUUCCUGACGCUGAGGAGCGAAAGCGUGGGGAGCGAACAGGCUUAGAUACCCUGGUAGUCCACGCUGUAAACGGUGGGUACUAGGUGUGGGGUCCAUUCCACGGGUUCCGUGCCGNAGCUAACGCUUUAAGUACCCCGCCUGGGGAGUACGGCCGCAAGGCUAAAACUCAAAGGAAUUGACGGGGCCCCGCACAAGCGGCGGAGCAUGCGGAUUAAUUCGAUGCAACGCGUAGAACCUUACCUGGGUUUGACAUGGAUCGGGAGCGCUCAGAGAUGGGUGUGCCUCUUUUGGGGUCGGUUCACAGGUGGUGCAUGGCUGUCGUCAGCUCGUGUCGUGAGAUGUUGGGUUAAGUCCCGCAACGAGCGCAACCCUUAAGCUUAGUUGCCAUCAUUAAGUUGGGCACUCUAAGUUGACUGCCGGUGACAAACCGGAGGAAGGUGGGGAUGACGUCAAAUCAUCAUGCCCCUUAUGUCUAGGGCUACACACGUGCUACAAUGGCCGGUACAGAAAGACGCGAUACCGCGAGGUGGAGCAAAACUUUAAAACCGGUCUCAGUUCGGAUUGUAGGCUGAAACUCGCCUACAUGAAGCUGGAGUUACUAGUAAUCGCGAAUCAGCAUGUCGCGGUGAAUACGUUCCCGGGCCUUGUACACACCGCCCGUCACACCAUGAGAGUUGGCAAUACCCAAAGUUCGUGAGCUAACCGCAAGGAGGCAGCGACCUAAGGUAGGGUCAG